AUGAACGCUGGCGGCGUGCCUAAUACAUGCAAGUCGAGCGGUAAGGCUCCUACAGGCUAUUUGAUUGAGCCAGGCCGCGAAACUUCGAAGAAGUUUCGCAUCACAAACGAAGGAGGAACGAUGGCUAUCGGUCCAACCACUUUGUGAAAUGCCUGGUACAAGCUUUCAUCAUAAGAAGGCGAAAUCAAAUUGCGUGUUGGAGUACACGAGCGGCGGACGGCUGAGUAACGCGUAGGAACGUACCCCAAAGUGAGGGAUAAGCACCAGAAAUGGUGUCUAAUACCGCAUAUUCUCUUCGGAGCAAAGCCUUGUGCGCUUUGGGAGCGGCUUGCGUAUGAUUAGUUAGUUGGUGAGGUAAUGGCUCACCAANACGACGAUCAUUAGCUGGUCUGAGAGGAUGAUCAGCCAGACUGGGACUGAGACACGG
rnacentral:rRNA from 1 species